rfam:Candidatus Woesebacteria bacterium RIFCSPHIGHO2_12_FTLL_41_24 rifcsphigho2_12_scaffold_1751, whole genome shotgun sequence.
GCGCCCGUAGCUCAUCGGUAGAGCGGUUGUCUUAUAAACAACAGGUGCUUGGUUCGAUCCCAAGCGGGCGCA